rnacentral:rRNA from 1 species
UACGGGGGGGGGCAAGCGUUGUUCGGAAUUACUGGGCGUAAAGGGCUCGUAGGCGGUCCAUCGCGUCGGGAGUGAAAAGCUGGGGCUCAACCCCAGUCCUGCUUUCGAUACGGGUGGACUAGAGGUAGGCAGGGGAGAACGGAAUUCCUGGUGUAGCGGUGAAAUGCGCAGAUAUCAGGAAGAACACCCGUGGCGAAGGCGGCUUUCUGGGACGGUACUGACGCUGAGACGCGAAAGCGUGGGGAGCGAACAGG